GACGAACGCUGGCGGCGUGCUUAACACAUGCAAGUCGAACGGUGAAGCGCCUUCCUUUUUGGUGGGUGUGGAUGAGUGGCGAACGGGUGAGUAACACGUGAGUAACCUGCCCCCUUCUUCUGGAUAACCGCAUGAAAGUGUGGCUAAUACGGGAUAUUCUGGGUCUGUCGCAUGAUGGGUCUGGGAAAGAUAUUGUUUCGGUGGGGGAUGGGCUCGCGGCCUAUCAGCUUGUUGGUGGGGUGAUGGCCUACCAAGGCGGUGACGGGUAGCCGGCCUGAGAGGGUGGACGGUCACACUGGGACUGAGGCACGGCCCAGACUCCGACGGGAGGCAGCAGUGGGGAAUAUUGCACAAUGGGCGCAAGCCUGAUGCAGCGACGCCGCGUGAGGGAUGGAGGCCUUCGGGUUGUGAACCUCUUUCGCCAGUGAAGCAGGCCUGCCUCGUUUGUGGGUGGGUUGACGGUAGCUGGAUAAGAAGCGCCGGCUAACUACGUG
rnacentral:rRNA from 1 species